rnacentral:rRNA from 1 species
UACGUAGGGUGCGAGCGUUAAUCGGAAUUACUGGGCGUAAAGCGUGCGCAGGCGGUGAGUAUAAGAUCAGUUAGUCGGAAACUCCCCGGGCGUCAACCUUGGGAACUGCAUCUGUGACUGCAUCGGCUGGAGUGCGGGCAAGAGGGGGAUGGAAUUCCGCGUGUAGCAGUGAAAUGCGUAGAUAUGCGGAGGAACACCGAUGGCGAAGGCAAUCCCCUGGGCCUGCACUGACGCUCAUGCACGAAAGCGUGGGGAGCAAACAGG